GACACUAUGGCCGAGCGGGUAAGGCAAUGAAAGCACGUUUGAAUUUGGUUUCCGGUAUUUGCUUCGUCGAUGUAGGUUCGAGUCCUGCUGGUGUCA